rnacentral:lncRNA from 1 species
CUUCCUGCUUAGGAGAAUGGGGGGGGGCGUUGAGAAGGGGGAAGAGAAGUACAGAUGUAAUUUCCUUUUCUUUUUUUUUUUAAACUUCACUGCUCUGAGUCAGAAGCCAGAAUGGAUGUUCUACUUGUAGUCAUAACUGCUGUGCCGCUCAUCUUGGAUGACUUAGUCAACUUUACCUUUGACUAUUCCCAAUUUGAGGAGGAGGAUAGAAUGAACAUUGAGAAAGAAACUAUAACUGAAGCAGGAGACAGGAAGGUUAAUCCUGAGAAAAAACUUCCAGACAAUGGCAUACAGAAGACAACAGAACAAGCCAGUACUCUGUCCACUACACCACAUGAGAGAUUAUACACAAAGAAGAACUGGGGCCAAGAAGGAAAAGAAGAUGGUCCCAGAGACAGAGAAGGAUCUACCACAGAGGCACCUUCAGCUAUGGAUGUUGCUGUGCCCACUCUGCAGCAUCACCUCCCACUCCUCCUUCUGCCCUGGGUUCUGCUGAGGUGGAUAUUGCUACUUUAGAAGGAGAGAGAAGGCUGCCAUGACUUCUUUGAACAGGGAGCUGGGGGUGGUGGUGGUGCAGAAACUGGAAAAAGAAAUAAAGAAUAAUUGAACCACA